rnacentral:rRNA from 1 species
AGAGUUUGAUUCUGGCUCAGGAUGAACGCUAGCUACAGGCUUAACACAUGCAAGUCGAGGGGCAGCAUGAUCGAAGCUUGCUUUGAUUGAUGGCGACCGGCGCACGGGUGAGUAACGCGUAUCCAACCUUCCCUAUAGUAGAGGAUAGCCCGGCGAAAGUCGGAUUUAAUACUCUAUGUUGUAUUUUAGAGGACAUCUGAAGAAUACCAAAGGUUUUACCGCUAUAGGAUGGGGAUGCGUCUGAUUAGGUUGUUGGCGGGGUAACGGCCCACCAAGCCUACGAUCAGUAGGGGUUCUGAGAGGAAGGUCCCCCACAUUGGAACUGAGACACGGUCCAAACUCCUACGGGAGGCAGCAGUGAGGAAUAUUGGUCAAUGGGCGAGAGCCUGAACCAGCCAAAGUAGCGUGCAGGAUGACGGCCCUAUGGGUUGUAAACUGCUUUUAUACGGGGAUAAAGUGAGGGACGUGUCCCUUUUUGUAGGUACCGUAUGAAUAAGGACCGGCUAAUUCCGUGCCAGCAGCCGC